rnacentral:rRNA from 1 species
CCACGGGGGGCUGCAGUGGGGAAUAUUGGACAAUGGGCGAAAGCCUGAUCCAGCCAUGCCGCGUGUGUGAAGAAGGCCUUCGGGUUGUAAAGCACUUUCAGUGGGGAAGAAAGCCUUGGGGCUAAUACCCUCGAGGAAGGACAUCACCCACAGAAGAAGCACCGGCUAACUCCGUGCCAGCAGCCGCGGUAAUACGGAGGGUGCGAGCGUUAAUCGGAAUUACUGGGCGUAAAGCGCGCGUAGGCGGUCUGAUAAGCCGGUUGUGAAAGCCCCGGGCUCAACCUGGGAACGGCAUCCGGAACUGUCAGGCUAGAGUGCAGGAGAGGAAGGUAGAAUUCCCGGUGUAGCGGUGAAAUGCGUAGAGAUCGGGAGGAAUACCAGUGGCGAAGGCGGCCUUCUGGACUGACACUGACGCUGAGGUGCGAAAGCGUGGGUAGCAAACAGGAUUAGAUACCCGUGUAGUC